CAGGCCUAACACAUGCAAGUCGAGCGGCAGCGGGAAAGUAGCUUGCUACUUUUGCCGGCGAGCGGCGGACGGGUGAGUAAUGCCUGGGAAAUUGCCCAGUCGAGGGGGAUAACAGUUGGAAACGACUGCUAAUACCGCAUACGCCCUACGGGGGAAAGCAGGGGACCUUCGGGCCUUGCGCGAUUGGAUAUGCCCAGGUGGGAUUAGCUAGUUGGUGAGGUAAUGGCUCACCAAGGCGACGAUCCCUAGCUGGUCUGAGAGGAUGAUCAGCCACACUGGAACUGAGACACGGUCCAGACUCCUACGGGAGGCAGCAGUGGGGAAUAUUGCACAAUGGGGGAAACCCUGAUGCAGCCAUGCCGCGUGUGUGAAGAAGGCCUUCGGGUUGUAAAGCACUUUCAGCGAGGAGGAAAGGUCAGUAGCUAAUACCUGCUGGCUGUGACGUUACUCGCAGAAGAAGCACCGGCUAACUCCGUGCCAGCAG
rnacentral:rRNA from 1 species